CCUUCCAUGGAAGCCGACAAUAUAUCUUUGAUGGAAGUGGCCUUAGCCGCAACUUUGUUCAAGAGCCUUGAUGUAGAACUUGAUUUCUUGAAACGUUUCUUGCAACUCAAGGAACUGCCUUGAAUCGGUGUCCCAUCAUUGCUGCUAAGCUCGGAGACCUUGGAAACCAUGUUGCAACUGGAUGGAGGAGGACGAGACAGAAAAGGCAUUGAGCUCGAUCGGGAGUAUUGCUUGUCGGAACUAGAGGCAUUUGGGGAAUUCAAAUUCUCAUCGACCGUAGGGUUGGAACUAGAAGCCAGUGGCUUGUGAGUCACGGGAUCAAUACCCUGUUCCAUCAAACGUUUUUUGAGAUGCGUGUUCCAGUAGUUCUUGAUCUCGUUGUCUGUUCUUCUAGGUAAAUGUCUCGCUAUGACCGACCACCUAAAGAAAAUAAGAUAGAUCGGAGACCAAGAUUAAAAUGAUGAUUA
rnacentral:sRNA from 1 species